GACGAACGCUGGCGGCGUGCCUAAUACAUGCAAGUUGAGCGAUGAAGAUUGGUGCUUGCACCAAUUUGAAGAGCAGCGAACGGGUGAGUAACGCGUGGGGAAUCUGCCUUUGAGCGGGGGACAACAUUUGGAAACGAAUGCUAAUACCGCAUAACAACUUUAAACAUAAGUUUUAAGUUUGAAAGAUGCAAUUGCAUCACUCAAAGAUGAUCCCGCGUUGUAUUAGCUAGUUGGUGAGGUAAAGGCUCACCAAGGGGAUGAUACAUAGCCGACCUGAGAGGGGGAUCGGCGACACUGGGACUGAGACACGGCCCAAACUCCUACGGGAGGCAGCAGUAGGGAAUCUUCGGCAAUGGACGAAAGUCUGACCGAGCAACGCCGCGUGAGUGAAGAAGGUUGUCGGAUCGGAAAACUCUGUUGGUAGAGAAGAACGUUGGUGAGAGUGGAAAGCUCAACAAGUGACGGUAACUACCCAGAAAGGGACGGCUAACUACGUG
rnacentral:rRNA from 1 species